rnacentral:rRNA from 1 species
UACGAAGGGGGCUAGCGUUGUUCGGAAUCACUGGGCGUAAAGGGCGCGUAGGCGGCCGAUUAAGUCGGGGGUGAAAGCCUGUGGCUCAACCACAGAAUUGCCUUCGAUACUGAUUGGCUUGAGACCGGAAGGGGUCAGUGGAACUGCGAGUGUAGAGGUGAAAUUCGUAGAUAUUCGCAAGAACACCAGUGGCGAAGGCGGCUGACUGGUCCGGUUCUGACGCUGAGGCGCGAAAGCGUGGGGAGCAAACAGG